UACAGAGGGGGCAAGCGUUGUUCGGAAUUACUGGGCGUAAAGGGCGCGUAGGCGGCCUGCUAAGUCGAACGUGAAAUCCCCGGGCUCAACCCGGGAACUGCGUCCGAUACUGGCAGGCUUGAAUCUGGGAGAGGGAUGUGGAAUUCCAGGUGUAGCGGUGAAAUGCGUAGAUAUCAGGAGGAACACCGGUGGCGAAGGCGGCUUUCUGGGCCUGUACUGACGCUGAGGAGCGAAAGCGUGGGGAGCAAACAGG
rnacentral:rRNA from 1 species